UCUCUUCUUCGAUAGCUGCUCAAUCUCAUCACUUUCCGACCGGCUCUACCACUUACUUGAACUACUUGACCACCGCAACCACCGGCACAGCCCAUGUCGAAUUUCCGUCUUCACUAUCGCUUCUUUUCAGUUACUCUUUAUCUUCUUCUCCUUUCAUUUUCUCUCUCUUUCAGCCAUUCGCAGUACGUUGAUGAUGAAUCCAAUCAAGAUUCUCUGGUCUCUCGCUUUCAACGCUACCUCAGAAUCUAAACCGCACAUCCAGAUCCCGAUUACGCCUCCGCCGUCGUCUUCCUCAGAUCUCAAGCACAAGAAAUCGGUCUCCAUAUGCAGGCACUCGAGUUCGGUCCAGACCUGUAGCAGCCAACCGCGCGCAGCCAUUUGAGCCGAUUGUUGUAACGAAGGUGGAUACUGAAAUACAGGGGGUGCGGAAGGUGGAAGAGGUUAGCGAUAGUGAUGGCGAUGGCGAUGUAGAGAGUGCUGAUGGCGGUAAGGUUGGGCGAGGACGGAAGUUGAUGGAGAGUUUAUCGAUUAAGAAAAUUAAGAAGGAGGAAUUGAGGAAGAAGAUCUUGUUAGGGUUUAGAAUUUGUGGAUUUGCCUUCUGUUUGGUCUCGGUUUCGGUUAUGGCUUCUGAUAAGGAUCAGGGCUGGGCUUUGGAUUCAUUCUAUCGCUAUAAGGAAUUCCGGUACUGUAUGGCAGUGAAUGUUAUUGGAUUUGUUUACUCUGCACUUCAAUCCUAUGAUCUUGUCUGUUUUCUCUCUACUGGAAAACACAUGAUCCGUAAUCACUU